UUACAAGAAAUUAAUUAUAAAAUUAAAUUGGCUUUCAGCACUCUGGGAAAAGCCAUCGUCCAUAAAUGGUUCAGGAUCCAUAUUAUGGGGUUUCCUAUCCGUGAAAUGGGGUUUCCUAUCCGUGAAAUGGGUUCCCUAUCCGUGAAAUGGGUUCCCUAUCCGUAAAAUGCACUUCUGGCGGGAUAUGGAUUGCCCGAACUGCACUUGUUUUUGGUGUCUAUUUUCACAGGUACAUACUUCUAUAUUGACACUUCUUGCUUGUAAUGCAGCAGCACGUCAGGAGUGCCAUCCUCAGUCUGUCUUCCAUAAAGCGUUGCUCGUCUUCCAUACGGUACUUUGUUUCCAUAGUGUCCCACUCGCCUUCCAUAAAAUGCAUUUUACCGGGCCAGGGAAUUAAUUAAUAGAGGAACACGUUUUUGUAAGGACAUGCUUCGGAAUUGACAGUGCUUGCUAUUAUUGCAUCAGGGAGCUCUGGCCGCGGCAGCAGUGUCAUCCUCUGGCCGCGCCAGCGUCGUCCUUUAUUCCUUAUGCCCAGUUAACCCAGCUUAAUUGCAUUAUAAUGCAAGCUGUUUGGCAAGUUGGGCAUUACGCCCAGUGCGUAACUGUCGGACAAACCGUUUCUCAACGGCCCGUGUCCUCAGGGGCAUCAUUAACUGUGUGCAAGAAUCUGAUAAGCUGAGCUUGGCUUUUGAUGUUCAGCACAAGCUUAGCAUGAAAAUGGGUCUCGCACCGCCAUAAGGCCCUUCCUGUUGUUGCCUCUCUUCUCCAUGAUUUGUAACAGGAAAUGGC
rnacentral:lncRNA from 1 species